UACGGAGGGUGCAAACGUUGCUCGGAAUCAUUGGGCGUAAAGCGCACGUAGGCGGUCUGUUAAGUCGGGUGUGAAAGCCCGGGGCUCAACCCCGGAAGUGCACUCGAAACUGACAGGCUGGAGUACGGAAGAGGGUCUCGGAAUUCCCGGUGUAGAGGUGAAAUUCGUAGAUAUCGGGAGGAACACCAGUGGCGAAGGCGGAGACCUGGGCCGAUACUGACGCUGAGGUGCGAAAGCGUGGGGAGCAAACAGG
rnacentral:rRNA from 1 species